GAUUAACGCUGGCGGCGUGCCUAACACAUGCAAGUCGUGCGGUAACAGGAAUAGUCUACUAUUUGCUGACGAGCGGCGGACGGCAGAGUAACGCGUAGGAAUGUACCCCAAAGUGAGGGAUAACUCCGGGAAACCGGAGCUAAUACCGCAUAUGAUCUUAGGAUUAAAGCUUCGGCGCUUUGGGAACAGCCUGCGUCCGAUUAGGUAGUUGGUGAGGUAAAGGCUCACCAAGCCGACGAUCGGUAGCUGGUCUGAGAGGAUGAUCAGCCAGACUGGGACUGAGACACGGCCCAGACUCCUACGGGAGGCAGCAGUGAGGAAUCUUCCACAAUGGGCGCAAGCCUGAUGGAGCAACGCCGCGUGCAGGAUGAAGGCCUUCGGGUUGUAAACUGCUUUUAAGAGUGAAGAAUAUGACGGUAACUCUUGAAUAAGGAUCGGCUAACUACGUGCCAGCCGCCGCGGUAAUAC
rnacentral:rRNA from 1 species